AGGAGGCAGCAGUGGGGAAUCUUGCACAAUGGGGGAAACCCUGAUGCAGCGACGCCGCGUGAGCGAUGAAGCCCUUCGGGGUGUAAAGCUCUUUCGGCAGGGACGAAAACCGACGGUACCUGCAGAAGCAGCUGCGGCUAACUACGUGCCAGCAGCCGCGGUAAUACGUAGGCAGCAAGCGUUGUUCGGAGUUACUGGGCGUAAAGGGUGCGUAGGCGGCCUCUUAAGUUUGGUGUGAAAUCUCCCGGCUCAACUGGGAGGGUGCGCCGGAAACUGAGGGGCUAGAGUGUGGGAGAGGAGAGUGGAAUUCCUGGUGUAGCGGUGAAAUGCGUAGAUAUCAGGAGGAACACCGGUGGCGCAAGCGGCUCUCUGGACCACCACUGACGCUGAGGCACGAAAGCGUGGGGAGCAAACAGGAUUAGAUACCCGAGUAC
rnacentral:rRNA from 1 species